AACGAACGCUGGCGGCAGGCCUAACACAUGCAAGUCGAACGCUGUAGCAAUACAGAGUGGCAGAUGGGUGAGUAACGCGUGGGAACCUUCCCAAUGGUGCGGAAUAGCCCAGGGAAACUUGGGGUAAUACCGCAUAAGCCCUUAGGGGGAAAGAUUUAUCGCCAUUGGAUGGGCCCGCGUCGGAUUAGCUAGUCGGUGAGGUAAUGGCUCACCAAGGCAACGAUCCGUAGCUGGUUUGAGAGAAUGACCAGCCACACUGGGACUGAGACACGGCCCAGACUCCUACGGGAGGCAGCAGUGGGGAAUCUUGGACAAUGGGCGCAAGCCUGAUCCAGCCAUGCCGCGUGAGUGACGAAGGCCUUAGGGUUGUAAAGCUCUUUUGCCGGGGACGAUAAUGACGGUACCCGGAGAAUAAGUCCCGGCUAACUUCGUGCCAGCCGCCGCCGUAA
rnacentral:rRNA from 1 species